GAUGAAGAACGUAGCGAAAUGCGAUACUUGGUGUGAAUUGCAGAAUCCCGUGAACCAUCGAGUCUUUGAACGCAAGUUGCGCCCGAAGCCAUCAGGUUGAGGGCACGUCUGCCUGGGCGUCACAUAUCGUUGCCCAAUGCCUAUUGCAGUGCAAUAGGAAUUUCUAGGGCGAAUGAUGGCUUCCCGUGAGCGUUGUUGCCUCGCGGUUGGUUGAAAAUCGAGUCCUUGGUAGGGUGUGCCAUGAUGGAUGGUGGUUGAGUGAUGAUGCUCGAGACCAAUCAUGGGUAACUCCACCAGAAUUGGGCUCGGUGACCCACAUGCGUCCCUUGGAUGCUCCCUAAGGAGACCUCAGGUCAGGCGGGGCUACCCGCUGAGUUUAAGCAUAUCAAUAAGCGGAGGA
rnacentral:misc_RNA from 1 species